GAUACUGUCACAACCAAAUUAAGUAGUGCCCAUGUCACAAACAAGUAAAACCAUUCAAAACAGUUUUUUUCUGCGCUAGGUUAACUAAGGGUUAACAAUAAUGAUAGUAACUGCUUUUUUUUUGCUGCGCAUGUCAAAAAGAAAUUUAUAACUGCGACACUAACAUGAAAUAGAACUUAGCCUUCUGUGCUGUACAUAAAUCAUUAUAACUGGUCAGAGAAAACAGGGAGUAACCCUGUGAGAUAACACCCUAGCGAAGACCGCUAGAUAAUUGGCGAUUCUAAUUAAAUUUAUGACGUGGCAAAAAACAAUUGGCUAGUACACAAAUAAAACCCAUCUUCACUUCCGUGAAGAACGGGAGACCUCCGCGCACACACCUGAAAAAACCUCUGAAUGUAUGCGUGAGAAUAACUGACAAAUUGAUCGCUUGUCAGUCUCCCCCGUCUCGACCUUAUCAGACGUAAAUCAACAACCUGCCGGCCCGAUUUUUUCUCCGUUUAUCUGCCUGAUCAACGAAUUCUUAUGCAGACCGACAUACGACCUUCGAACCUUAAGCUGUAACUAACCAAGUAUCUCUGACCUCCGCUAUUCACCACCUUGACGGCAUCCGAGAUUCAGAGCACGUGGCGAGGAAGAGCCCUAAGAGGAAUGACACCACCGGAGGAAGUGAGGGCCUGAUGCACGACCUCGUCGCGACGCCCACUGAAGCCCUGAUCAUGCAAUUUUGUUAUAAAUCAGAUUAUGUGUUUAUGUUGGGUAUUAUUUCUUGAUUGUUAUGUAACUUGAUCCCAGGACAGCGAAUUUAUGUUUGUGUAUUUGUUUGUUGGCUUGUUUACUCAUUUGAUGAUCACGACAAACUUCUAGAUUGCUCGGAAGAGUAUGGCAUAAUUUAGCUACGCUCUCAGCAAGGGGGGAUGUCACAACCCAAAGUUGUGAUUUUUUGUUUGUGUGUGUGCUUCGGCACCGCUAAAUUAUUUCCCGCCAAUUUGUCGCUUUCUUUGCACGGUAGAGUUCUCUGCUGCAAGAGAGAACUCUGGUGCAACCAGAUCCAAAUCUUCCCGCCAGAUUACAGCUUCUUUGCAGGGUGCAUCUCUUUUGCAUCGUAGUGAUACACGUUGUAAAGAAGUUCCCGCCAUUUGUAUUAGGAUUUACGCCACGUUAUUGGCCCAUUCCUAAUGUAGGCACACGUGGUGGCUAGCGAUUGGCUUGCUAACCAUAUAAAAGGCUUGGGUAGUUUCCGCCCAAGUUGGAGGAGGGAGGACGAGAGAGAUUCUGUGUGAAGAUCUCCAAGCGCUGUGGACCCUUGCGAACCCGACGCGCCUCCCCUAAGCAGGCAAUAGAGGCAAUAGAACCGAGCCUACGGAGCUUUCGCUUCUCGCCUCUCCCCGUCGCCGAGCGCAAUCCUAGACGUAUCCCUUUCCUGUAACUUCGGACCCGCGGAGCCUAAGUAACUCCGGGGAAACUUUUUGAACCUAACCGAACCAGACCCGCGGAGCCUAGCAAACUCCGUGGAAGCAAUCGAUUUGUCGUGUUCCUCUAGUGAGGAUCCAAGCAGGAGCUGUGCCUGGAAACCUGUCCAGCCUACACCAAUACCAUCUUUGGGUGUAAGUAAACAAUCUUUUCAAUCAAC